CCAGCUGACGUCGCGGUGAAGCACGAUGAACGGAUACGCAGCUCCAGCUCUCGCCUCCGGCAUCUUCGGCUCGUACGACUCCAACAUGAAUGGUCUCGACUCUCAGUCUCCUGAACCUCCCAGAAAUAAAGCCAAGUCUGGUGCCAAAGCUCUGUACG